rnacentral:rRNA from 1 species
GACGAACGCUGGCGGCGUGCCUAAUACAUGCAAGUAGAACGCUGAAGAGAGGAGCUUGCUCUUCUUGGAUGAGUUGCGAACGGGUGAGUAACGCGUAGGUAACCUGCCUUGUAGCGGGGGAUAACUAUUGGAAACGAUAGCUAAUACCGCAUAACAAUGGAUGACACAUGUCAUUUAUUUGAAAGGGGCAAUUGCUCCACUACAAGAUGGACCUGCGUUGUAUUAGCUAGUAGGUGAGGUAACGGCUCACCUAGGCGACGAUACAUAGCCGACCUGAGAGGGUGAUCGGCCACACUGGGACUGAGACACGGCCCAGACUCCUACGGGAGGCAGCAGUAGGGAAUCUUCGGCAAUGGGGGAAACCCUGACCGAGCAACGCCGCGUGAGUGAAGAAGGUUUUCGGAUCGUAAAGCUCUGUUGUAAGUCAAGAACGAGUGUGAGAGUGGAAAGUUCACAAUGUGACGGUAGCUUACCAGAAAGGGACGGCUAACUACGUG